rnacentral:rRNA from 1 species
GAUGAACGCUGGCGGCGUGCCUAACACAUGCAAGUCGAACGGAGUCCAGCCUUUAAGACCUUCGGGUAAAGGAGGGGAAGACUGAGUGGCGGACGGGGGAGUAGCACGUGGGCAACCUGACUCAUAGCGGGGGAUACCAGAGAGAAAUUUCUGCUAAUACCGCAUAAGCACACCCUGCCGGCUGGCGGAGGGUGAGAGGAGAGUCGCUAUGAGAUGGACCCGCGUCUGAUUAGCGAGUUGGCAAGGUAAGGGCUUACCAAAGCGACGAUCAGUAGCCGAUCUGAGAGGGUGGCCGGCCACAAUGGGACUGAGACACGGCCCAAACUCCUACGGGAGGCAGCAGUAGGGGAUAUUGCAAAAUGGCGGAAACCCGAAUGAGGCGAGGCCGCGGUGGGAAAAAAGUAUUUGGGUAUGAAAAGCUCUAUCAGCAGGAAAGAGAAUGACAGUACCGGAAGAAGAAGCCCCGGCUAACUACGUG